rnacentral:lncRNA from 1 species
AGCCCCACUAGUGAACAAGACUGUGCUUACGAAGAUCACUCUCGUAGCAUUACGAUGUUCCAAAGAACAAAGGAUUCAACAAAUUUAAAAGGUAGAUUUUUAUUAAAAUGGUUGAAUGAAUAAAAACAAUACAAAGCAAGCCUUUAUAUAAUAGGCAAUCUGUAGAAUUAAAUAAUCUAGUCAAUCCUUGAAACUAUAAAGCUCUUAAAACUAUGAAGACUUGACUAGGAAUAUUGACUUGACCAAAGACAAGACUGUUGACCGAAUUUGGGAAAUUGUGUUCGCAGAAUUUCUUGGCUGGUCGCAUCCUUUUGCAUGAUCGACGUCUCUGAAUUGCCGUUAGAUUGAUAUAUUAUACGACAUUGGCUUGUAUUUUCUUGGUGGGCCUUUCUUCUUUGGACUUCUUUUGAUUUGCUUGUUGCUGAACAAGGUCACAUCAUCCACUCCUCCUUCAAAAGGAUUUGCCCUCAAAUCCGACUUAAUGUUUAGAUCCUGUGACCGUGAGAGGCAGCCCCACUAGUGAUCAAAACAGGUUGCUUUCGGAGAAGCAAUCUCCUAGGGCCAUUACGAGAGAUGGAGGAGCAGUCUCGGUUUAACUUCAGAUGGAAUGAUCUCUUGUUUUCUCAUGGAUCUUUUUUUUUUUUUGUAGAAGAUGGAAAGAUGAAAAUGAUGAAUGACAUAAGUGAACACCGAACCCUCAAGUGUGCUCUGAUACCAAAUAAUAGAAAAUCUCCCAAGAAAUGCACUCGAAGGUUGGUGAAAGGAUAAGCUUUGACCCAAAGAUGGAUUAAAGGAAAGGUGGAUCGAUGGUUUUACAGUAUAAGGCUGCGGAGGGCCAGAUACUUGCUGGGUUGGUCUUAGUCCGUGAGAGGCAGCCCCACUAGUGAACAAGACCGUGCUUACGGAGAUCACUCUCGUAGCAUUACGAUGUUCCAAAGAACAAAGGAUUCAACAAAUUUAAAAAGUAGAUUUUUAUUGAAAGGGCUGAAUGAAUAAAAACAAUACAAAACAAGCCUUUAUAUAAUAGGCAAUCUGUAGAAUUAAAUAAUCUAGUCAAUCCUUGAAACUAUAAAGCUCUUAAAACUAUGAAGACUUGACUAGGAAUAUUGACUUGACCAAAGACCAAGACUGUUGACCGAAUUUGGGAAAUUGUGUUCGCAGAAUUCCUUGUCUGGUCGCAUCCUUUUGCAUGAUCGACGGUCUCUGAAUUGCCGUCAGAUUGAUAUAUUAUACGACAUUGGCUUGUAUUUUCUUGGUGGGCCUUUCUUUUUUGGAUUUCUUUUGAUUUGCU